GAUGAACGCUGGCGGCGUGCUUAACACAUGCAAGUCGAACGAAGCAUUUACGACAGAUCUUUUCGGAGUGAAGUUGUUUAUGACUGAGUGGCGGACGGGUGAGUAACGCGUGGGUAACCUGCCCUUCAGAGGGGGACAACAGUUGGAAACGACUGCUAAUACCGCAUAAUACUUUCGAGCGGCAUCGUUUGAAAGUCAAAGAUUUAUUGCUGAAAGAUGGCCUCGCGUCUGAUUAGCUGGUUGGUGAGGUAACGGCCCACCAAGGCGACGAUCAGUAGCCGGUCUGAGAGGAUGAACGGCCACAUUGGGACUGAGAUACGGCCCAGACUCCUACGGGAGGCAGCAGUGGGGAAUCUUCCACAAUGGGUGAAAACCUGAUGGAGCAAUGCCGCGUGAAUGAAGAAGGUCUUCGGAUCGUAAAGUUCUGUUAUUAGAGAAGAACAAGUCAAGGAGUAACUGUCUUGACUUUGACGGUACCUAACCAGAAAGUCACGGCUAACUACG
rnacentral:rRNA from 1 species